rnacentral:rRNA from 1 species
UACGGGGGGGGCAAGCGUUGUUCGGAAUUACUGGGCGUAAAGGGCUCGUAGGCGGCCAACUAAGUCAGACGUGAAAUCCCUCGGCUUAACCGGGGAACUGCGUCUGAUACUGGAUGGCUUGAGUUCGGGAGAGGGAUGCGGAAUUCCAGGUGUAGCGGUGAAAUUCGUAGAUAUUCGGAGGAACAUCAGUGGCGAAGGCGGCUCACUGGUCCAUUACUGACGCUGAGGUGCGAGAGCGUGGGGAGCAAACAGG